GCCCGAGUGGUGGAAUUGGUAGACACGCGAGACUUAAAAUCUCGUGGGCCGUAAGGUCCGUACCGGUUCGAGCCCGGUCUCGGGUACAA
rnacentral:tRNA from 1 species